ANGCAGCUUGCUGGACUGUAACUGACGCUGAGGCACGAAAGCGUGGGGAUCAAACAGGAUUAGAUACCNUGGUAGUNCACGNCNUAAACGAUGANUGCUAGCUGUUAGCGAUAUACUGUUAGCGGCACAGAGAAAUCGUUAAGCAUUCCACCUGGGGAGUACGCCGGCAACGGUGAAACUCAAAGGAAUUGACGGGGGCCCGCACAAGCGGAGGAACAUGUGGUUUAAUUCGAUGAUACGCGAGGAACCUUACCUGGGCUUAAAUUGCAGUGGAAUAACGUGGAAACAUGUUAGCCUUCGGGCCGCUGUGAAGGUGCUGCAUGGUUGUCGUCAGCUCGUGCCGUGAGGUGUCGGCUUAAGUGCCAUAACGAGCGCAACCCUCAUCGAUAGUUACUAACAGGUUAAGCUGAGGACUCUAUCGAGACUGCCGACGUAAGUCGUGAGGAAGGUGGGGAUGACGUCAAAUCAGCACGGCCCUUACGUCCAGGGCUACACACGUGUUACAAUGGGGGGUACAAAGGGCAGCUACCUGGCGACAGGAUGCUAAUCUCAAAAACCUCUCUCAGUUCGGAUUGGAGUCUGCAACCCGACUCCAUGAAGCUGGAUUCGCUAGUAAUCGCGCAUCAGCCACGGCGCGGUGAAUACGUUCCCGGGCCUUGUACACACCGCCCGUCAAGCCAUGGGAGCCGGGGGGACCUGAAGUAUGCAACCGUAAGGAGCGUCCUAGGGUAAAACUGGUGACUGGGGCU
rnacentral:rRNA from 1 species